ACGAACGCUGGCGGCGUGCCUAAUACAUGCAAGUCGAACGCUUCUUUUUCCACCGGAGCUUGCUCCACCGGAAAAAGAGGAGUGGCGAACGGGUGAGUAACACGUGGGUAACCUGCCCAUCAGAAGGGGAUAACACUUGGAAACAGGUGCUAAUACCGUAUAACAAUCGAAACCGCAUGGUUUUGAUUUGAAAGGCGCUUUCGGGUGUCGCUGAUGGAUGGACCCGCGGUGCAUUAGCUAGUUGGUGAGGUAACGGCUCACCAAGGCGACGAUGCAUAGCCGACCUGAGAGGGUGAUCGGCCACAUUGGGACUGAGACACGGCCCAAACUCCUACGGGAGGCAGCAGUAGGGAAUCUUCGGCAAUGGACGAAAGUCUGACCGAGCAACGCCGCGUGAGUGAAGAAGGUUUUCGGAUCGUAAAACUCUGUUGUUAGAGAAGAACAAGGAUGAGAGUAACUGUUCAUCCCUUGACGGUAUCUAACCAGAAAGCCACGGCUAACUACGUGCCAGCAGCCGCGGUAAUACGUAGGUGGCAAGCGUUGUCCGGAUUUAUUGGGCGUAAAGCGAGCGCAGGCGGUUUCUUAAGUCUGAUGUGAAAGCCCCCGGCUCAGCCGGGGAGGGUCAUUGGAAACUGGGAGACUUGAGUGCAGAAGAGGAGAGUGGAAUUCCAUGUGUAGCGGUGAAAUGCGUAGAUAUAUGGAGGAACACCAGUGGCGAAGGCGGCUCUCUGGUCUGUAACUGACGCUGAGGCUCGAAAGCGUGGGGAGCAAACAGGAUUAGAUACCCUGGUAGUCCACGCCGUAAACGAUGAGUGCUAAGUGUUGGAGGGUUUCCGCCCUUCAGUGCUGCAGCUAACGCAUUAAGCACUCCGCCUGGGGAGUACGACCGCAAGGUUGAAACUCAAAGGAAUUGACGGGGGCCCGCACAAGCGGUGGAGCAUGUGGUUUAAUUCGAAGCAACGCGAAGAACCUUACCAGGUCUUGACAUCCUUUGACCACUCUAGAGAUAGAGCUUCCCCUUCGGGGGCAAAGUGACAGGUGGUGCAUGGUUGUCGUCAGCUCGUGUCGUGAGAUGUUGGGUUAAGUCCCGCAACGAGCGCAACCCUUAUUGUUAGUUGCCAUCAUUUAGUUGGGCACUCUAGCAAGACUGCCGGUGACAAACCGGAGGAAGGUGGGGAUGACGUCAAAUCAUCAUGCCCCUUAUGACCUGGGCUACACACGUGCUACAAUGGGAAGUACAACGAGUCGCAAAGUCGCGAGGCUAAGCUAAUCUCUUAAAGCUUCUCUCAGUUCGGAUUGUAGGCUGCAACUCGCCUACAUGAAGCCGGAAUCGCUAGUAAUCGCGGAUCAGCACGCCGCGGUGAAUACGUUCCCGGGCCUUGUACACACCGCCCGUCACACCACGAGAGUUUGUAACACCCGAAGUCGGUGAGGUAACCUUUUGGAGCCAGCCGCCUAAGGUGGGAUAGAUGAUUGGGGUG
rnacentral:rRNA from 1 species